rnacentral:rRNA from 1 species
UACGUAGGGGGCAAGCGUUAUCCGGAUUUACUGGGUGUAAAGGGAGCGUAGACGGUCUGAUAAGUCAGAUGUGAAAGCCUGGGGCUCAACCCCGGGACUGCAUUUGAAACUAUCGGACUAGAGUGCAGGAGAGGUAAGUGGAAUUCCUAGUGUAGCGGUGAAAUGCGUAGAUAUUAGGAGGAACACCAGUGGCGAAGGCGGCUUACUGGACUGUAACUGACGUUGAGGCUCGGAAAGCGUGGGGA